UAAAUAGGGUCUGGUAGGGCAGGUGUACACUCCUGUGUCGUGGUGCAAGAGAAUCAGCAUUUAUGUCACUCUGUUCUUGCUUUAUGUCAAGUCAGAUCAGGUGCAAUCAUGAUAUCCUUAACAACUGAAUAAACUACUGAAAUCAAUUUGUGGCAGUAAUAUCAGCCCCGCUUACCUGAGGUACGUCAGCGUCCUGAAGCAGAGCAUCAGCUGAGGAGUAUCAAUCCAAAAUGGAGAAUGCCGCUCUGCAGAUAGAUGUAACAACACAAGACUGAGAUUCCUUUCUCAUGCAGAGGACUGGGUUGCUGGGAAGCUAUUAGUUAUUAUCAGUUAUUAGUGCAGUGGAAGUGAGACAGUCAUGCCCUGGAGAAAAAGUGAGGACAUGGGGCAGGUGCAAAACCACAGGCAGUGCAGGAGCACGGGGCAGGUGUAAAAUGGGGAUGGGGGUGUGUGCUGAGGGGAGAUUCCUGCCGGCUGCAGAGGCGGGAAAAAGCAGCUACGCCGUGAGGGAGCAGCCGCCAUCUUGACCGGUGGUGAGGGGCUGUUCCCCAAUGAUGAAGACCUCUGUCUCCAUGUGCAAGCAGUUCUGAGGAAGAAGAGUGUUCUGGCUUGGUGAGAGCUGCCUGCCUCACACCCAGCAGAUGAGAACAGAGUCAUCAUCUCUGGAAGAAGUUGUCACAUUGCGAUCUAGAUCUACGAGGGGACCUGUCUUUGGUGGCAGUGGUGUCUUAUCUCCCGUGAGUUAGCAUCAGAUGAAGCUUGCUGACAGCAUAAUGGCAGGGAAAACCUCCGACGGCUCCAUCAAAUGGCAGCUCUGCUACGACAUCUCGGCCAGAACUUGGUGGAUGGUGAGUUGGCAGCAGGGCUGCUUUUUUUUUCUCCCUUUUCUACUUUCCCUCCCUCUUUGACAAAAUGUCCCAGACCUCACAUUUAUCAAAUUAACAUUUGAUUUUUUUCACACUCUUCAGUAGAGCAGCCUCACACUUGUCCCACUUGUGUGCUUUCCCCUGUGUAACAGGAGACCGUUAAUGUGCACUGCAGUUUCCACAGGGAAGCUUUUUCAAUUCUCCUUAAAGAGGAGAAAAAACAAAACAAAACAAAACAAAAAACAUGCAAAGAAGUAGUUUGCAAAAGCCUUGUGCAGAGUAACUUGUCACAGCCGGCUGCCUAGCGCUCACUUUGUUUUACUUUAUCUGCUGCUUUCAAGCGUCCGUGUGCAUGUGCGUUUUUUACCGUGCAAUAUUUUGUAAAGAGGGGAGGUGGAAAGUUCAUUCCGCUGCAGAGCGAGUCGGUGGCUGCAAAAGCCUGGACCGGUGCGGGAGUGUCGUGGUGUAAAACCAUCACGUGUGCGGGGAGCGCGUUUUGCGAGGUGCUGCCACAGACCCCGCUCUCACUUCUCCCUCCGCUUGUUUACGUGAGAACAGGUUACGGGGCUUCGCUGACCUGGAGCCAUGUGUCACAGAUCCCACUGAGCCCAGCUCAGACUGCUUUGGGGCGCAAUUAAAGUUUCAAUAAAGUCCCAACGUGCUCCGUAGAACGAGUUAACUAGCAUGUCAUGGUCAGCCGGGCCAGACAACCUUUGACAUCUUGAAUCUAUAAGAGGUAGGGUGAGUUGGGAGGAUGCACAAUAGCCCAUUGUGGCAGAAGAUGCAAGUCCUGUUGCGAGGAAGAGAGUCCUCAAAUCAUUACUGCCCUCGUUAGCGUGUUGUCCGUUAGGGAUUAAUUCGUUAGCAGCGCAUUUUUAGUUUUCUGUAAUUAUUAUUCUUGUGGCAAGCGUGAAUUCUUCCAGUGAGAGGAAAAGUUUGCUGCCAGGACAAUGAAUGUAUUAUCCGCUCCUAACUGGACCGUGAACCUCAGCUCGUUUCACAUAGAUAUCAGUUAAAAAAGGACCGGCGAGUGGAAUUACAAAACAAGGCAUGAUCACUUUCAUUGUAAGAUACGCUGAAACAAGCCGGGUCUCUCCCUCCCCCUCGCCGCCCCGGACCAAUUUUGGUAUCAUUUGGAAAGUUUAAGACCUCUGAGGACUUGAAAGACUUUUAAAAGUGAGAUCCGGAAGGUUUUUAUUCUGCAGCUUGGUGGUGGCCAUUGUGUAUAUCAUGUGGCUUGUAUUUAAAGGUGUUUGGGCUCGGGUUUGUCAGUUUUGUUUUGUCUAAAGUCUUAAUUUUUUAACCGGCUAUUAGAGGUUUGCCAGCGGUUGCCAGAGAAAUGUAACAUGCAGCUUUUGGUUAACAAGGAUAGAGGAGGCUAACCACUUUCUUAUAGUACUGAUUUUCCAAUUAGACUUUCUGCCAGGGGAAGUUGGAGGGGGAAGGGGUAUUUGCAUGCAUAUAAACUGUUGACUAUUCAUGUGACUUUUUUUAGCUUGUUAAACCCCUGUAAAUAAGUCUAUUGAUUCUCAGUUAUCAUUUUCAAAGCAAAGUUUUAGACUGCCUGUUUUAAACCCACCGUUUAUCUCGUGCUGUGAUUUUGCCUUAUUCUUAGCUAUCUGUAUAUUUUAUUACCGCUCCUCCUUUAUUCUCUAUCGGCUGCUUUUAUGAUGAGGUAUGUCAAUGUUUAUUAUUUAAUAAUAUCCUCAAAUGCUACUAGGCAGUUAUUGUCACCCUUUAGAAAGGAUCCGAGGAAGUUUCAUUUCAGUCACAUUUAUUUCACAGAUGUUUUAGUACCGUGAAUAUAAUAUGUAAAAAUGCUGGAAACAUUUAGUAAUGCACUUGCCUAAAAAUAAACAGUUUUAUAACCACACAUGCUGUUGUUUAGAUUAAACAUUGCCGAAAA